CCUUUUGUGUGUAAGUGUGCAUUAGUACAUGCUAACAAUAUUCAAAAAGUACAUACCUCAAAGAAAACGAUGACGCGAGUUAUCGUCUCUAACGUUCGAGGACUACAAAAAACACUCGGAUUGUAGGCAACAGUUUACUUCCUGGGAUUAGUGACGUAGAUAAGACCAACAUUAUCAUAGUUCAGCCCUCUCUGCUUUGCUUGGGUACGCCCUCAAAGACGAGGGUGGGGAGCGCCGAGUCAGAAGAGAGCUAAAAUGGCGGAGGUUGGGAGUCCCUGCUUUGACUCUGUUUGCAAACUCUUGUUUCAUUGUUUAAGCGAUUAAAUCUCUCGAGUAGCCGCUGUCUCUUUAGAUGCGAGGGCAAAAUAGCACUUUAUGGACUUCCACAGAGGACAUCAUGUUUAAUACGGUUCCGGAAAAAUCCAGUCAGAAGUUGUUCACGGAGUUUUCACAAUAACUGCUUCUCAUGAACCGAAGCUGGAUUUGCGCGACGUCUCCUCUUGAAAGUUGGAUUACUGUGCACUUCUGGAUCACAGACUAUUCGCAGCUGUACACAUCCUUCUACACUGUAUGCAAACAUGCAACAUCAUUACACACAGUACAAGGAGUCAGACUGGCAUAUGAGGAGCAAAGGAACCCAGGCAGUAGCAUCGUUUCACAAUGUUUCCAUCAUCAUCAUCAGUGGAUGCCUUUGCCGUCCGUAGCCUGAGAUUUCAGAUUUGCAGCAAAAAAAAAAAAUGAUUUUCUCAUUUAUUGGAAUGCUGUGCAGGUAUUUGUACCUUGCAGCCAUCCAUUACAAUGUCACCAAGCCGUAACAAAAGCAGGAGAGGGAAAGUACAAGGCUAUGUUCCCAAAACACAAAUGACAUACCUUAUGUGGAGGAUGUGAUCAGGCUUGUGUUUGAUGAGGUAUUUGAAGAUAAGCUGAAGGAAACCCCGAUUCCAAUGGACCUCGCAUCACAGUUUGAGAGACCUUCAAAGGAGGACGUGAUUGCAUGCCAUCUUCAG